UUAUGUGUGUGUCUACAUAAUGAGAAACAUGUUUUUGUUGUUGAAUUAUGAUGUUUGUCCUUAGUUUUUGUUCUAUGAUUUGCUAUACUUUUUUUAUUGUUGUUGGUGAUGUUGUCUUCCUUUUCUAGUCUAUGGUUUGGGAUUGGGAAUUUCAGGACACUAAAAAACUUGUUCCUUGGAAUUUGAUGUUUAUAAAAAGUUUUCUUUAUAUUUAUAGGUUUUGUGGUUGGACAUAGGAGCAGAGAAUUUACCUAAAUUGUUCAUUAUAUAUGUCUGUGUUUUCUGUUGGUGGAGGAGGACCUGCAACAGUGCAAAUAAGCUGA